CUCUCCCUCUCCGUCCACCGACCACCGCCCUCCGGUGUCUUCUCCGGCCAGCUCCCUCUCCGGCCGUCACUGCACCACGCGUGUUGGCCCAAUAGGUACAUUUUGGCUAAGGAGCAUACAAAUCACUCAAAAAAAAAUAUUUGUUUCGAUGGACCAGAGACCCCCUACUUGCGCACAUCGUGCACCACGCCUACCCGUGCCUUGCACGACUACAUCCACACCGGCGAUGUCAGCGGCACUACAUACCACACCGUGGCCACACCACCCGGACGCCGUUUACAGACCAUUGCCCCCGGGUACGGCGGGGAUGAGCAGGUCAGAUCCCGGGCAGACGAGCACAACUGGAUAUUCUCCUUCUCUAUACCCGCCUACGUCCACACCGGCGAUGUCAGCGGCACUACAUACUACACCCUGGCCACACCACCCGGA